ACAUUUUUAGCCCCCCUGUACUUUCAGGUUUUUGCCAAUUUAACUCUUUUUUCAAACUUUAACCUAUUGCACCCUCAAACUCCAGGUGUGCUGAUGAAGCCCUUUUGGGCCUUUUUUGAUGAAGCGUGCAGUGACAACAAUUUUUGCACGAGUGAGCCGUUUAGCUCCUGUUAACCACCAAAAUGAUGUUGUUUCUUUGAACGCAAGAUCUUGAGCCUCCUUCACUGUCACAAUACCUGAACCCAGCUCAAACAAAUCCAUGCCCAUUUUCUUCACCAAGGUCUUCACCAACUCAACCAUAACUAAAAAAGCCAAAAAUAGCCCGACCAUAAAUAAAAAACCCAAAUUAAAUAGUUUUUUACAUCCUCUGAUAUUUCAAUAUCCAACAUUUGUUGGGUUUCCAGUAAAAUUUUGACGUCCACCCAUCGGCCGGUGAAGGACAAAUGUUACAGAAGGUAAGGUUUGGAGAAUAUAAAAUGUCCAUUGGACUCUUCGGUCAAAGUUAGCUUAGUAGCAAAAGAACCUAUUAAUGGGUAUGAGUUUGGGAGAUGAAUAGAGAUCGAUUGUUUUGAUUUGGAGUGUUUGGUUUUCAAGAAAAUGAAGAGUAACGAGAAAAUGAGAAGGAAAAAUGAUAGUACAAGAAGAAGCUCCACACUGCUUGCCUUUUCCUUUAGUCUGUUAUCAAUUACCUCUAUAAUUUCUCCUUCACCAACAUUCCUAUUAUUAAUGAAACCAUCUGAGAACCAAAAGAAUCUCCAUUAUUAACAGGUAUGAAACUUUUUCUUUAAUAAAAAAUCCCUUGUAUUGGAUCGCAUCGAGAUCCAAACUUAAAAUGGCACCUUCUUACCCGACUCACAUUCGGGUCAGCCCCACAAAAUGGAGUUUCCAGCACAGUCUACUUGAGAACUACACAUCGGUUCCUAAGGCAAUGCCCAUUGUAUCUCCACUCCUGGGUCGGGCCACUUAGCCAUAGGCAAAUUUGAAUCUAUAUUCUAUAAGCCCUGCACUGAAAUCUCAAAUCCGCAUCCAAUGCUUUGUUGGCAGCCCACCCACUUGAAAAUGACAACAAAUCAAUCAAAUAAUAAACUUGUGGGCACUGAAUCUAAAUUCACAGAGCUGGAAGCGGAGACAGACAAAGAUGGUAAAAGGUUCAGCAAGGGCGACCAAAGCGCUGAAGUUGGCAGGGGGAAAGAUGGUGGUGGAGCCAGUGGGCGCGUUCAACAAGCUGACAGAGAGGAUGAAUAUGCUGUCGGUUGAGAGACAAUAAAAGACAAUGAAUGUACACUACUGAGAAUAGCAUCGUUUUGCACUGCUGAGAAUGCCACCAACUCUAACAUAAAGCACAUCAUUUUAAUUGUGUGAGGCUAAAAGUACCAUAAGGAAAACGGCAGUAUUUUGAUGGUUAACCGGCUUUUUAACAGUUCCUUGCCCAGUGUUUGUUGUCACCUUACGCUCCAUCAAAAAAGGCCCAAAAGGGCUUCAUGCGAUACACGCCAAAGGUUCAAGUGAGUAAUAGGUUAAAAGGGUUAAAUUGGCAAAAACGUGAAAGUUCAGGGACAAAUAUGUUUUUAGCCCCACUUUGACAGUAAGAAAAAGCAAUACAGUUUUUGGCAGGGAAUCAUCAUUACCUGCCAUGUAUGACUGAUACAAGAAAUCCAGCAGAACGGAUCACCUCAAUUUCUGUUCGUGUCAUUUUAUGUGUCCAACAAGCGUUGAUUUGACCUUCAAAACCACAAUUAGACUGCAUCCCAGUUGAUGAUAUACCUUUUACAUAUUCCUGCAAGAGAUGCGCCUAAAAUUUAGGUAGGGACAUCCUUAUACA
rnacentral:lncRNA from 1 species